UGCACAUUGUCAUUUUUGUGUUUUUGACAACAUAUAUCUACAUGCUAUCUUACUGUACCUAUUUAAAAAAGGAAAAUUAUAUUUAUACAUCAGUCAUGCCAGAAUUUUUUUACAGCAUUAACACGUGGCGAUAUUUUGAAUUGAAAAAUACGGGUCAGACUCUAUCUUUCUCUCCCAUAAUUUAUUAUCCACCCAACCACUCAGAAUAUCUCUCUCUCCCAUCAUUUAUUAUCCACCCAACCACUCAUCCAAACCACUCAUAUUUAUCACUAUCGUCUCUCUCACUAUCCGAUGUUGCCAUAUGAAAAUUCCCACGCCCGUCGGUGCUACUGUCUAAAAGUUUACAACCCACUGAUGCUGCCGUCUUUGCAAACCGUCGAUGCUACAGCCUCAACUUAUUUAAAUCGUCGGCGUCUGGAAUUCUCGAAAUCAAUUGUACGGUAUGUGAAAUUUCCAAACAUCUUUUCGAUGAUCAAUAACUAUCAUGAAUAUAAGCUACUAUAUACUUUGAACACACUUUCAGUCAAUAAUAUCAUAUAUAAUCUCACUUUCCUUUCCUUGAAACAAAGAUCACUAUUUUGUAGUGUUGAUAUAUAUUUUGUAUGCAUUUUUUGCCUUAAUCAAGAACAAGUGCUACGGUCUCUCUCAUUAACUUCUCUUGAAAUGAUUUGCAUUUUGUCUACCAAUUUCUAUAUUGCCUUCUUAUUUCUAGUUUAUUCAAUUGUUGAUAUAUAUUCUGCAUGUAGUUUUUUCAAUGCUCAUAGAAUCUGAAGACAACUGAUUUGAUUGAAAAUAAUGUGUAUAGGGAAGUCAUUAUUUCGUGUUCAAUUGCACUUGCACUCUAUUUUAUGGAGAUCGAAUUCUGACUUUGGGCUUCUUGAAUUGCACUGUAUGCUAGAGUUUGCUCCAUGACAAAAGGAACAGAGGUAUAUGCCAUAGCUGCAGAAUGUCGGGUCAUUCGUUCUCGGAAUGUUCGAGAAAGAGAAGAUACCCGAAAUGUGGCAAGGGGUUUGUGAAGUGGAUAGAGGUGGAAAAAAAUAGUGAAAACAAAGGAUGGUUGUUCCAUUACUAUACUCGUGACUGUAGGCAUUUCAAGUGGUCUGAUAUUUCGUCACAUGACGAUGGGCUAGUGCAUUACGAAGGUGAAUCAAGUGGCUCUUCUUGGGGAUCAUAUAAGUUCAACAAUCCA
rnacentral:lncRNA from 1 species